GACGAACCGUGCGAACGUUGUUCGGAAUCACUGGGCUUAAAGGGCGCGUAGGCGGGCUGUCAAGUCUGGGGUGAAAUGCCGCGGCUCAACCGUGGAACUGCCUUAGAUACUGACGGCCUCGAGGAAGGUAGGGGCAUGCGGAACCGUAGGUGGAGCGGUGAAAUGCGUUGAUAUCUACAGGAACUCCGGUGGCGAAAGCGGCGUGCUGGACCUUUUCUGACGCUGAGGCGCGAAAGCUAGGGGAGCAAACGGGG
rnacentral:rRNA from 1 species